CGCGUAGGCGGGGCCUUAUGUCGGAGGUGAAAUCGCUGGGCUCAACCCAGCAACUGCCUCCGAAACUGGGGCUCUUGAGUGCAGGAGAGGGGAGCGGAAUUGCUGGUGUAGCGGUGAAAUGCGUAGAGAUCAGCAGGAACACCCGUGGCGAAGGCGGCUCCCUGGACUGUAACUGACGCUGAGGCGCGAAAGCUAGGGGAGCGAACGGGAUUAGAUACCCCGGUAGUCCUAGCCGUAAACGAUGGUCACUAGGUGUUGGGGGUAUCGACCCCCCCAGUGCCGAAGCUAACGUGUUAAGUGACCCGCCUGGGAGUACGGCCGCAAGGCUGAA
rnacentral:rRNA from 1 species